GCCGGCGUAGUACAAUCGGUAGUACAUUACUUUCCUAAUCCAUAGAAAGGUAAAGGUUAUGGGUUCGAUUCCCAUCGUCGGUU